GCAGAGAAGACGCAAAAGCCACAUGACCUUCUCCCACAAUACUCCUCCUUCGUCAUUCCCUCUCUUCCCCAUUUUCUGGAAACAGUGAGGCUCCGGAAGCUCUGAGAUUCAGCCAUGAAGAUCACCCUCCUUCUGUCUUUUGUUAUCUUCCUUCUAUUGCCAGGUAAGAUGUUUGGGGACCACCCGUCUUCAGCCUACAGGUGGGAGAGGAAGAAACAUCAGCCCUGUGGGGUGGGGGGAAUUCUUGGCUGUUUUGAUUGCAUAGUCUGUGUUGGAAAGGAGCCGCAAGAGUCAUCUAAGUAUAGCCCACAUCAAUACUGAAGCCACAGCUAAAGAAUCUGACAGAUGGCCACCCAACCUCAGUUUAGAAACCUUCCCUGAAGGGGAGUCCACCACAUUCUGAGGGAGUCGGUUCCACUGCAGAACAGCUCUUACCAUCAGAAAGUUCUUCCUAAUGCUCAGCCAGAAUUUCCUUUCUUGUAACUUGAAGCCGUUGGUUGGAGUCCUACCACCCAGGGCAGGAGAAAGCAAGCUUGCUCCAUUUCCCAUGAGACAGCCCUUUAGAGAUUUGGACAGCAUAUUGCUUCUCAGACUUAUCUUCUCCAGGCUAAACAUACCCAACUCCCUCAACCCUUCCUCAUAAGGCCUGGUUUCCAGGCUGAACUAGAUGGACUAGAUGAGCCUUGGGGCUCCCCUUUCACCUCUACUGCUCUAUGAUUCCAUGACAAUAUGGGAAGAGUGUUUCAGCUUGGGAAGGCCUGCCCUUAAUCACAAUGUUCCUCUUGUUUUUUUAAACACCCCCAGGUCUUAACCAGGCCAGGAGUAAAAAAUGUGCAGAUGGAGUAUGCAGAAAUCUGAAGGCGUGUUACAGGGAGGAAAAGUUGUGGGGACCAUGCCCUCAGGAUCCGUCCCAGAUCUACUGCUGCUUUUUGUAAGCUGGCUCCCUUCCUCUUCACCAGCAGCAAGCCUAUCAUAUUGCAGGGAGCGGGGGAAUCCUAACCUCUCAUAUUUCAGAAUAUCUUCACCCUGUAUACCUGUUCCCUUAGGUAGGCAUCGUUUAUCCACCCAGAAGAAGAUUCGGACGUUUCUGAAUCCUGAAGCAAUUUUCCUGUGAGACAGGAUCUUUCUUCAUCACCACUCCCAGAAGCCUUGUCAGCUAGUCAACCUUCCCAAAAGGGAACAACACCUUCUUGUCUAACAGAAGUCUUGCAUUUUCCUCUUCUAAUAAAAGCAAUGUAGUUGGGCAUAUGAA